GGGAAGUGGGAGGGGUAGGGGAAAGGAAAGAAGGGAAUGGAAUUAGUAUGAGACAAUGAAAAAAUGGAAACAAAGUCUUUAAUGCCAACUCUUAAGACACUUCUUUGGACAGCUCUAAAAUGUAUUUUGUAUACUGUCAUCAGAGCCUUACAAACGUGCAUGCUCGCUCCUUCAGUGCCUCAAGACAAGAACAGGUAAACCAGGAUGUGGCCGAGUCUGACCUAAACUAAGAAAACUGUUGGAAAAUUAUCUAAACUUUAGCAAGGUAAACUUUAAUAAGGCACACUUAUUAGAUUAUUAAUUUUUCAGUAACUUCAUGGGUGAUUUUAAAAAGCUAGAAAGCAUCUGUGUGACAUUCAUGUUUACUCCUUCUCGGGAACACCAAUAAGCCAGAAUGAGAAAUCGGUAAGAUACAGAGCCAGCUGCUGUGCGCAACAUUAGACUAGGCUCUGGCUCCCACACAAGGACUGCAGCGUUUGCCUCACGUGGCUGCAGCCUUAGGGUUUUCUUAAGGACAGCUGUGUGUAUUGAAUAAUCCAUUCUAAAUUCUGGCUACAGGUGGCUUGCUUCCUCUCCUUAAACAGAGAGGUCUUGCCUUAAACAGUUUUGUAGCAGAUAAAUUCAUCAGCUAACUCAAGUGACAUCAAGCCUCAGUCCACGCACUCCAUAGCCAGAGCCUCUGGUCUGCACAUCUCACCUUCCACAGGUGGGGACAAAUCGGGCCACGUGCUUCUGAGAAAGGACUUCAGGUUUGCUGCUGAUUGGGACACAGCUUCCUCUACUCCAGCCCCAAGCCAGGGCAUCUUCAAAGAAGCCAAUGGGCAGGGAGGGACUGACACUCAAACACAUUUCUCCAGGUAGUACUUUAAACAUUUAUAUUUGGUACCACAAAAAUGAGCUCGAGAAAGUCUGCCUUGAGAAGGCUGGGAACAAAGAGGCGGUGAGCACAAAUCCCAUAAGAAGAAGCACUUUCUACUGCAUGGAGACACAUCUACAGCCAGUGACCCUCCCCUGUACCCCUGCUUGGUGACUUGGGGAAGUAAUGUUGAAGCAGAAAUAGACAGGAAUUCCGAAUCAAACAGUUAAAGGUUACAUCUAUUUUCACAUAUCUUUCAAGAAUGUAGUAGUUGUUCAGAAGGAAUAGUUGGGUACCUAGUUUUUAAAACCUGAUGAACUAUUUUCAACUUAAAUAUUUUAUGAUUAAAAUUAAAUUUAUAGCAGUUUCUGCUUCAAAUUUAGUAUUUUCAAUUUAAUAUUUAUAUUUGAGAUUUAUGCCUAAAUACAUAUUUUGUCAAUUUGCCCACUAACUACAUGGGGAAAAGUUUUCUUUAAACGUUUUUUAAAUGAUGGGGAAAGAAGCAUUUUUGAACUUGAUACUUUUGUACAGCAAAAAUGAAUGUGCAAUAAGAUGAGAAGCCCAUGUGUAGGGGACCCUUACUGUUCAUUGUGUGAAGGGGGCUCAAGUCUGGUAAAAGUAAGAGUAUGCGUGGAGCUGCUUCAUCUGUGCAUCUACCGCGUUAAUCUCAGGUCAGUCUCCCUCGCCAAGCCACUCCCGUGCUGGUGAUUCCCAGCAUGAACUUGACCUUCUGCGAUGAAAUCCUUUCCAAGCCUUUCUUUCUGCUACAUUUUUUCAAGUAGCCUGCUCUCAGCCAACCUGGACCAUCUGCCCCAUGCCUUCUGCUAUAUUCCCAGUCCCCUGUUGCUUGAAAUAUCUUUAUCUUCUCUGGAGUUAUUCGUUUCCCAGAGACCAUCUCAGAGACAACCCACUGCCUGCAGCUUUGCCGGGUUUCUCCCCAGCUAACUGCGUGUUAACCACUUACAGAGUCUAACAAUAGACGCAUCUUCCGCAUCUCGUAAAUGUAUACAGUGCUGAAUAAAAAACCCAACUCCCAACAAUUCACGUAUAGAGUUUGAUUUCUGUAACAGGGAUGAGGGUUUGUUCACACAAAAAGUCAUGCUGGCUGUCUUCGCAGAUUGGAAUUAGACUUCGGAAUCUCAGAGGAGGCCUCUGUGUUUCUCAGCCAUCGCUGCACAUUGGAAUCACCUGGGGAAUUUUAUGACACCUGGGUCAGGACCCAAGGGCUCAUGGGUAAUUGACCUGGGAUGUGGCCCCACACCGGCUGGGACCCAAGUGACUCCACCGUACCCUGAGCUGAGGACGUCUGCAACAGAGGUUCUCAAGCACGACAGUCAGUUUCUUCAAAUAAAUUUACAAAGAGAGAGGAAGGAGAAAUCUUUUUACCAUCAACGUUGGAUGAAAACUAUGUUGAAUAUGAACGAGGAAAUCACUCUAGAAAACAUUAUUUGACCCCGAGACUCGUUGUUUCAAGUGGCAAAAAAUACACAGGGAAUGCUUUUAAGGUAAUUAACAAAGUCUUCUGCAGGAACACUGCAGAGACCUGAGAUUGGAAGGAAUUUAAAUUGGCUUCUUAAAGUAGAUUUUCGGGCUUAAGGGAAAGAGGCAUCUCCACGGUGUCGUCAACCAAGAAUGAAGUUUUCUGUGCAUUUUAAAAAAUUUGCGUACUCGCACUUAAGGAUUCUACUGGAGUCUACUAACGCCUAGAAUUGAUGCAGGUCUGAGUGACUGCACGUAUGUAUUAUUUUUCCCUAAACUGCUUUGCUUCCAGCAUGUCCAGGCUCAUUUGGAAAAGGUUACAGGGAGAGCAAACAGCCUCGGUAGAGCGAGACACUGCUGCCCUCCUGUGGACGGUAGGGGCAUCGGCCAAUCCCUCCUCACUUUCAAACCGUCAAGAGGUUCCAUUUCUAAUUUCGUUUUGGAUCCAGUAUAAAACUAGCUCUCUCCUGGUGCUUCUGCGAAAUUAACAUCUUUAAAAAAGGACUAAGUUGUUCCCCAUACUGCUGGGGGAACGUUGCCGGGUAGGGCAGCAUGUGCUUGUAUUUCCAGCACUCUGGGAGGCCGAGGCAGUUCCAGCCCAGCUCAAAAUAAAAGAUUAAACAGGGCUUGAGAUGUGACGUCAUGCAGAGGCCCUGGGCUGAGCUCCUUCCCAAGUACCAAAAAAUAAAAUAAAAACGCGGUGAACAUAAUAUAGGGGAGAAGGGCUGUGGGAUAAAUAAGCAACUUUUCUUCUUUCUCACUUGAGUCCAGCAGAGGGGAAUGAACACCAGAUGUCGGAUCACGCCGGAUACCAGAUCACACCGGAACCUGCCCCGAUUUCCAGCUUGACAGUGCAAAGCCCGAGAAAGCCUGUAUGGAGGUAGUGAAACUGCCAGUAGGAGAAGCCACUGAAGCUGACGUCUACCUCCCGCAUGUCGCUUUUAGGGACUGCACUACAGCACUACUCUAUGUUGCUCAGGCCUCCUGGUGCUUACGUCUGUGGCUUCAUCAAGAAUCCAGGGAUGGAGGCUUAGAGGAGCACUUCUGUGUGGGGUCAGGAAAAUUCCAUCAUCUGAUUACCACCCACCUCCACUCAAAGGCUCCUGGGGAAGUAGGCUGACAGGGCUGUGCUGGAGGUGGACCCCAUGGCACCAUGCUUUGCGAAUGCUGGUGUCCAGCUGAGUCACACGAUGAUUUUGUGCGUGCUGACUCACCAGGGCUGGGGGGGGGGGUGUCCUGCAUUUCUUCUGUAUUUCCAGCCACUGCUAUGGAGUGGCCUCCAAAGAUGGCCAAAUCCUAAUACCUAAAACUUGAGAAUGUGA